rnacentral:tRNA from 1 species
GUGGCUGCAGCUCGAUCGGUCGAGCGUCUGGCUGAAGACCAGAAGGCGAAGGUUCGAUUCCUUCCGGCCACA